UACGUAGGGUGCGAGCGUUGUCCGGAAUUACUGGGCGUAAAGAGCUCGUAGGUGGUUUGUCGCGUUGUUCGUGAAAACCGGGGGCUUAACCCUCGGCGUGCGGGCGAUACGGGCAGACUUGAGUACUGCAGGGGAGACUGGAAUUCCUGGUGUAGCGGUGGAAUGCGCAGAUAUCAGGAGGAACACCGGUGGCGAAGGCGGGUCUCUGGGCCGUUACUGACGCUGAGGAGCGAAAGCGUGGGGAGCGAACAGG
rnacentral:rRNA from 1 species